UCGAGCGAAUGGAUUGAGAGCUUGCUCUCAAGAAGUUAGCGGCGGACGGGUGAGUAACACGUGGGUAACCUGCCCAUAAGACUGGGAUAACUCCGGGAAACCGGGGCUAAUACCGGAUAAUAUUUUGAACUGCAUGGUUCGAAAUUGAAAGGCGGCUUCGGCUGUCACUUAUGGAUGGACCCGCGUCGCAUUAGCUAGUUGGUGAGGUAACGGCUCACCAAGGCAACGAUGCGUAGCCGAUCUGAGAGGGUGAUCGGCCACACUGGGACUGAGACAGGGGCCAGACUCCUUCCGGAGGCAGUAGUUCUGCUCCCUCCGCAAUGGACGAAACUCUAGGGGUGUCAGGGGUGUCAGGGCCUGAGGAUGUCGGGUCGUAAAAAUUCUGAUGUAAGCGAAGAACACGUGCUAGUGUGCGUAACCCCCGUACCUUGACGGUACCUAACCCCGUAGGGCCACGUACAACUCCGGGGCAAGCGGCUGCGGGAAAUACGUAGGGGGACAAGAGGUACCCAAACUUUUUGGCCGUAGACCGUCCGCGGUUGGUUUUUUUACGUCUGAGGUGUAAACCCCC
rnacentral:rRNA from 1 species